rnacentral:rRNA from 1 species
UACGUAGGGUGCGAGCGUUAAUCGGAAUUACUGGGCGUAAAGUGUGCGCAGGCGGCUCCGCAAGUCGGGUGUGAAAUCCCCGAGCUUAACUUGGGAAUUGCGCUCGAAACUACGGAGCUGGAGUGUGGCAGAGGAAGGUGGAAUUCCACGUGUAGCGGUGAAAUGCGUAGAUAUGUGGAGGAACACCGAUGGCGAAGGCAGCCUUCUGGGCCAACACUGACGCUCAUGCACGAAAGCGUGGGGAGCAAACAGG